AGAUGCGAGAGUAGAGCAUAUCAAUAAGCGGAGGAAAAGAAACUAACAAGGAUUCCCUUAGUAACGGCGAGUGAAGCGGGAAGAGCUCAAAUUUGAAAUCUUCAAGGUUUUACCUUGACGAAUUGUAGUUUAUAGAAGUGUUUUCUGUUAGUGGAGUUUGGUAAAAGUUCUUUGGAAUAGGACAUCAUAGAGGGUGAGAAUCCCGUAUUUGACCAUUAUUUCCAGCUGUGUGAUACACUUUCAAAGAGUCGGAUUGUUUGGGAAUGCAGUCCAAGAUGGGUGGUAAAUUUCAUCUAAAGCUAAAUAUUGGCGAGAGACCGAUAGCGAACAAGUACCGUGAGGGAAAGAUGAAAAGAACUUUGAAAAGAGAGUUAAACAGUACGUGAAAUUGUCAAAAGGGAAGCGUUUGACACCAGUGUUGUUUAGUUGAAAAUCAAUUCAAUAGUUUUUGAUUCUAAGUAGUAUUGACUUCAUCAGCUUGCUGCUUUCUUCUCAGAAAUUAUUGAAUGCACUUUUCAGUUAACAAGUCAACAUCAAUUUCUUUUGUUGUAAAAGGGUAAGAGGAAGGUGGCUUGCGCUUCGGCUCAAGUGUUUAUAGCCUUUUAUCUCUGCAAUCGGAGAGAUUGAGGUCUGCAGCGUAGAUCCUUCGGGGUUAGAUACAUUGGUGCUAAGCUAUAGCCUUGUAUAGACAACUUGUUGACUAUGCUCAGUCAUGUAGCUUACUCGCUGAUGCUAUUUUACCUACGCUUAGGAUGUUGACGCGCGUGUGUGCGUG
rnacentral:rRNA from 1 species